AGACCUCUAAUCGGAAAAGACCACCCGCUGAGUUUAAGCAUAUCAA
rnacentral:rRNA from 2 species